rnacentral:lncRNA from 1 species
UAUUUAAUAUCUAUCUAUAAACUACAUAAUAUUAUCAUAAUUGAAAUAAAAGGGAUAUUUCAAAUUGGGUAAAUGUUUUAUAAUUUCUGUCAGAAAACAAGCUGAACUUUGAAGUAAUUAUUAAAUGAAAAUGCACAAUUCCUUGAAUAUGUGGAGAGAAAAAAAUUGACGAUUUAUUAACUAAUCUUAGUACAAUAAUUUUACAAAUGUUUUAUUUAUUCUUUAAAAUGAUUGAAAAAUAUACUCUUCAACAUCUUUACUGUAGGAAUAUUAUUAUAAAUGUUCAAAAUCAUAACCUCUUCUCCAGAUUUAGCAAUGUGCUGUGUCUUGGGAUAGGAGUAACAUGGUAUUGACCAUUUAUAUCAUUAAUUUUUUUAAAUGAAUCAUAAGUUUAACAAAAGUAAUCAUGCAACUUUAAGUUUCGUACAAAUAUUCUUUUAUAAAAAAAGAAUAUUAUUUUCGUAGGUGCCUUCUUUCUAUAGAAAUUAGAAAGUAUGUUUAAAGUUCUAUUCCUAUAUCAAUUUUUGUAUCAUAUUUGAAGUCUGCAAGGGAAUAGGCCAGUAAUAUGUAUAUCAAUAGAAUAAGAUGGGUAUGAUAAGAAAAAUUAUGAAUUCAUACAUGUAGCAAUUGGGAUAGAAAUUGAACAUCAUAUUGAUUAGAUUACUGAUAAUUAUAACAUAUACAAAACAAAAUAACAAUAUUAACAUCUAAUGUUAAAAUGUUUAUGUUAUUUGAGGGAAAAAAUAAAUAUAUUUUCAUAAUUUGAUUUGUAUUAUUAGUUUGCCAUACACUUCGAAAGCCAAAUGAAAUGGGUAAAAAGGGUAAAUGUUUUCAAAUUGAUUGAUUAAUUGGUGUUUAAUGCCACCUCAGUGCAAUUAGCUAUUUUAUGGCAGUCAGUUUUUAUUGGUGGAGGAAACCAAAGAACUCUUAGAGAAAUAUGACCUACAACAGGAAAUAAGAUUCCUAGUUGUAUAAGAUUGGAGUCGAGCACAUGUGCCAUGUGUAGGGUCGAAGUCCCUACCUUUUUGUUUACAGAAUAUUGAUACAGUAGUUGGACUACUUAAACCACUCAGCCA